rnacentral:rRNA from 1 species
UUACUGGGCGUAAAGCGAGCGUAGGUGGCUUGAUAAGUCAGAUGUGAAAUCCCCGGGCUUAACCUGGGAACUGCAUCUGAUACUGUUAAGCUAGAGUAGGUGAGAGGGAAGUAGAAUUCCAGGUGUAGCGGUGAAAUGCGUAGAGAUCUGGAGGAAUACCGAUGGCGAAGGCAGCUUCCUGGCAUCAUACUGACACUGAGGCUCGAAAGCGUGGGUAGCAAACAGGAUUAGAUACCCUGGUAGUCCACGCCGUAAACGAUGUCUACUAGUCGUUGGGUCCCUUGAGGACUUAGUGACGCAGCUAACGCAAUAAGUAGACCGCCUGGGGAGUACGGCCGCAAGGUUAAAACUCAAAUGAAUUGACGGGGGCCCGCACAAGCGGUGGAGCAUGUGGUUUAAUUCGAUGCAACGCGAAGAACCUUACCUGGUCUUGACAUACACAGAAUCCUGUAGAGAUACGGGAGUGCCUUCGGGAAUUGUGAUACAGGUGCUGCAUGGCUGUCGUCAGCUCGUGUCGUGAGAUGUUGGGUUAAGUCCCGCAACGAGCGCAACCCUUGUCCUUAGUUACCAGCGGUUUGGCCGGGAACUCUAAGGAUACUGCCAGUGACAAACUGGAGGAAGGCGGGGACGACGUCAAGUCAUCAUGGCCCUUACGACCAGGGCUACACACGUGCUACAAUGGUAGGUACAGAGGGCAGCUACACAGCGAUGUGAUGCGAAUCUCAAAAAGCCUAUCGUAGUCCGGAUUGGAGUCUGCAACUCGACUCCAUGAGGUAGGAAUCGCUAGUAAUCGCGGAUCAGAAUGCCGCGGUGAAUACGUUCCCGGGCCUUGUACACACCGCCCGUCACACCAUGGGAGUUGAUUGCACCAGAAGUGGGUAGCCUAACUUUUAGAGGGCGCUCACCACGGUGUGGUUGAUGACUGGGGUGAAGUCGUA